rnacentral:tRNA from 1 species
GCUAUUUUGGCAGAAUAGUGCGAUAAAUUUAGAAUUUAUAAAUGUAAUUUAUGUUACAAAUAGUA